UACAGAGGUCCCGAGCGUUGUUCGGAUUCACUGGGCGUAAAGGGUGCGUAGGUGGGUUGGUAAGUCAGUGGUGAAAUCCCCGAGCUUAACUUGGGAACUGCCAUUGAUACUAUCAGUCUUGAAUACCGUGGAGGUUAGCGGAAUAUGUCAUGUAGCGGUGAAAUGCUUAGAUAUGACAUAGAACACCAAUUGCGAAGGCAGCUGGCUACACGAAUAUUGACACUGAGGCACGAAAGCGUGGGGAUCAAACAGG
rnacentral:rRNA from 1 species